UUGAGAAGAGGAAGCUGUAACCAUCAGGUAAGUUUUGCAGUGCUCAGCACCUGGACUUUGUGCUGCAGGAAUGGUGACAUGGCUGGCAGGACUGGCACAUAAAGGUCUCAAGAACUUCAGUGGCAAAAUGGCCAAAGAAUUAGAAUCAACUAAAGCAUUUUGGCAUUCAGCCUGCUCGUUGGUACAGAGCAGAGCAGCAGUCUAACACGCUACUACAUGUCUGUAAGCUGAGUAGAGGAGCAGGUUUAAUUUUAGGUCUAAUGAUUGCUGACAAGUUCCUUUUUAUCACAUCUUUUUCUUCACUUUAAGAUAUCGUUUGAAAGGAACUUCACAUACAGUUUCAAACCAAAACCCAGCUCUGGAUUCCUCAUCUAUUCUAUCAUUUCCUCCUAAGCUGCCUGUCACUGCAGCAGCUGAAUACCAGCCACCCUCAUACCCUGUAUCCCCUGGGAGAAAAGGAGCACACAAAGGGUGAGACCAUGGCAGGAGGAGAAAUCCAAUAAAUAAAAUUAUUUAUUUAUUUUCAGAGGGGGAAAUAAAAUAAAAUAACAUAAAAUAAAAUAAAAUAAAAUAAAAUAAAAUAAAAUAAAAUAAAAUAAAAUAAAAUAAAAUAAAUAAAAUAAAUUAAAUUAAAUACAAAAAACUAAACUAAACUAAACUAAACUAAACUAAACAAGGGGGGUUCCUGACCUGCUCUGCCAUCCACAAUCUGUAUGGAAAGUAAGACCAAACGGGAACGGUGCCAUAAAAUUUCAUUUGCUGAAGAGGCUCUUUUCUAAAUUAAACUAGUUAGAACUGAGCUGAUUCAUAAAAGCAUGCUGCAUUUUUUAAAACUCCACUUCUCAGCUACUCUCCCAUUGCUUGAAAAACAUGCAGCUAUUGAUUAAGGCCUGUCCUAACACACAGUAGCUCUUCAGUAAUGCUGCAGCCAGAGCAGUUGUCAAUACAGGGCACCUAGAUCAUCCAAAUAAAAUGAAAGCUCUUUAACAGUCAUCUCUAAUGGUGACUGGAGAUAUUGGUAUAGCAGAAAUUACAUGAGAAAACCAAUUAAAUGUUUUUAGUCCUGCGAGCUGGGUUUGGUCCAAAUGAGGACAGAGCUUUUCCUGAGUUAGGCUGUGCAGGUAAUGACCCUGCUGCACAUGGGAGAAAAAUAAACAAUAGGCAGUAACCUUGGAAAGAAGAGAUAAAAUUAGUUCUUCACAGUAAAUUUUCCCUACAUUAUUCUAGGCAACUUUUUGGAGUUUUUCCAUCCUUAGCCCACUGUAAAACAAAUACAAGCAUUACUUUAUCCUCUAUAUGUUCUAGGGCAUUAGCAGCAGGAAUAGCAUGAAUUCUUGUAUUAAUCUGUCCUGAAUAACAGGAAUGAAUGCCCCCUAGGAAUGAAUGUCCCAGCAACUUCUGGACCCAGAUGUAGGGCCCAGAGCAAAAGCAGAGUCAUAUGGAAAACUGACUGUGGUCUGAGUUUAUGGUCUAGUUUAAAUUCUUCCCAUUCCCAUAGUUUCUGGGGAGUAAAUGGGUCAGAGGAUCACCAAGCUCUUCCCCUCCACACUCCAAAUAGUCAGAAUUAGACAGGUUCCUUCCUCCCAAGUCUCUCACAGAGAGGUCUGAUCUCAGUUCUGGGCUCCAACAGAACAGAAACAACAAAGGUGGCUCCUAAAAACGAUGGCACAAAUGAAGGCACAGUAUAAACCAGCACACACCUAAAUGGGCUCAGUGUUGUUCAUUUGUAGCAUGCUCACCCCCCCGCCCCCAAAACAGCAGAUUAUUAUUCACCUGCAGUAACAUCUGUUCCUUUGCCACAGUCUCACCGGUGUCAGAGCUGUGCUGGAGCAACUCCUACAUCCCCUUCCAGGAAAAUCUCCAGUGAGGCACAGUAUUCUAAUGCCCUGACCACUGAGAGUUGUAUACACCAGAUGGAUACUACCAGCCAGAGCACUUUAAGCACAUACACCCCAGAAAUUAAAGCAAUCACUCAGGCUCAAAGAGGAAAAAGAAAUAUAAGCAGAUUUUUUUUUUUUCUGCCAAAAAUUCAGCUUCACAAUAAAAGCUGUAAUGCUGCACUUUCAAAAGUCAAAAAUUGUUUGAUUUCAUUAAAAAAGCAUUAAUUCUUAUUUUUAUUUUAUGACUUUUUUUUUUUAUGGCAUGGUAAACUACCAACUGAUAUUGUCUGCUUACUAUUUUAUAUAGUAAUAAUAAUUUACUAUAGACUGAUAUUGUCUAUUUACUAUUUUAAAAUACCAGGGGCCUAUCUUUAUUUUAUUGAAACAAACUUAUUGUCAGAUUCCAGACUGAUUUUUUUUCCUGAAUUUAUUUUUCCCUUGAACCUAUCCCUUCCCCACCUUAAAAUUUCAGACUCUGCCACAGGAAAGCAGUGCAGUUUCCUGAGCUCCUUUGUGCAGAGUGUAUACAAACCCUGCUCUAACCUGCAUAACUUGAGUUACUCUCUUCAGCUUUUAUCAGGGGUUAAAGCACCCUUGGUUAGCUGAGGAGUUAAAGUCCUCUGGGAGUUUCUGCCCAUUCCUGAGGGAUGUUGCAGUGUCUGCCUGGAAGCCCCAGUCACAGACAUGCUCUGCCAGGGCUGAAGAGGGCAAUCUGGAAGGGCUAAAUGAAGCAAAGACACAAUUAAUGUAGUCCUCAACCCAGGGGCUGGCCAGCAAAAUGAGCUCUAUAACAGCUAGAACCUUCCACAAAGAGAAAUAUACCUGCCUGGCUGCAAUUCAAGGUCCUGUCUGAUACAAUUCAAGGCAGUGCAAGUCAUUUUGUGGCAACCACAGCCAUGCAUGCCAAAUUUGUUUUACCAUUAUUUCACUCUUCCAUCAGAUCAGGGUGCCAAAGGUGACACGCCAGCAGUUUACUCAGAUUGCCCCUCAGUUUCUUCUUCCUUCCUGGCUUUUAGCAUCUCAUCUGACAGCAAGCUGCCAGAGUUUAAACAAUCUCAGCAGCAAACCAUAUCCUUUUUGUUGUUCAUUUUACAAAAUUAAAAACAUUAAACAUUAAUGUCUCUUGAGUUUCCUCUCCCCCUCAACCCUCCCACCUCCUGAAGUAAAAUAUGUUUUUGUGAUUCCACAUCAGAAGGACACAAUACUCUGCUGUGCCCAAUACUUUGUGGGUGUGGGUGUUUUCAGGAACCACAUCUGAGAAGAAAUCCCAGAGGUUAUUGUAAUCAUUCCUUUCACUCCUGGGUACUCAAGCACAGGAUUGCCUGCAAUCAAUUUGCUCUUGCAUCCUAGUAUUAAACUCCCUGUGUAUAAAAGUAUCACCAGCACUUUCUAUAUUAAUCUAUGUAGCAAUGUUCUAAAGAGCUUUUUAUUAUGCUGCAAAGAAAUUACAAUGCAGAGCAAAAGCCACUAAAGCCUACUUGAGCAUUACCACCAAAUAUGAAAGUUGGGUCUGAUCCUUCAGCCAGUGAAAUUGAGGAGUCUUGACUGCACUCCCUGACUUUUCAGGGAAAAUUCAGGUAUGUGUCUCUGUAGUCUACCUUAAUCUUAUAACAAGGAGGAUUACAAGUCUACAAAAAGCAUGACAGGAAAUUACAUUACAUGUAAAGCAUAUGAACAGGGAUCCUGAUUACUUUCAAGCUCAAGUUUUUGUUGGUUUUUUGGGUUUUUCUGUGGGUUUUGACUUGGGUAUUUUCAUUGCUGUUUUUUUUUGGUUUUGUUGUUGAUUUUGAGGUGGGUUUUUUUGGGGGGUUUAGUUGAGUUUGUUUUGUUUUGUUUUGUUUUUUUUAAAUAUCAAAUACUUGAAUCAACAAAGAUCCCAGCAUCAUAGGCUAGUUUACAAGCAGCCCUGCAAGAGGGUUUAAUCCUUGAGGUGGAAUUUUUCAUCUGAAACUAAAAAUAUUUGCUAAUAAUAUUAAAUUUACUAUUUAGAUCUAGUGUUUGGGGUGCAUGAGGGAUUAAUACAAAAAUCUUGACACUACUUUCUCACCUGCAAAUUAACUUUAAGGAACUCACACCACUCCUCUGUUGAGUUUUCUCAUUCCCAGACAGAAAGUUUGUCAGGCAUUCUGAGCUAGUCUCUUUCCAGCUACACACAGGAAGCAAAUCUCCAGCCAGCAUUGCUGGAUGUAAGUGGAAAUCCACAGGCAAUAAUCUUACAUGUGGUCUUUGAGGAUUUUCACUCUGGUUAACCUUUCUACAAAGAAUAUAUUGGAGCAGGACAUGAUGCUUCACUAUGUUUUUAACAGUUCUCAAAAAGGUUGGGAGUGCAGUAGUUCAAUUCCAAAAAAAAA
ensembl:lncRNA